GACGAACGCUGGCGGCGUGCUUAACACAUGCAAGUCGAACGGAAAGGCCCCUUUGGGGGUACUCGAGUGGCGAACGGGUGAGUAACACGUGAGUAACCUGCCCUUGACUUCGGGAUAACUUCAGGAAACUGGGGCUAAUACCGGAUAGGAAUCCUUGCUGCAUGGUGGGGGUUGGAAAGCUUCGGCGGUUUUGGAUGGACUCGCGGCUUAUCAGCUUGUUGGUGGGGUAGUGGCUUACCAAGGCUUUGACGGGUAGCCGGCCUGAGAGGGCGACCGGCCACAUUGGGACUGAGAUACGGCCCAGACUCCUACGGGAGGCAGCAGUGGGGAAUAUUGCACAAUGGGCGGAAGCCUGAUGCAGCAACGCCGCGUGCGUGAUGACGGCCUUCGGGUUGUAAACCGCUUUCAGCAGGGGCGAAGCUUGUGGUGACGGUACCUGCAGAAGAAGCACCGGCUAACUACGUG
rnacentral:rRNA from 1 species